UACGUAGGGUGCGAGCGUUAAUCGGAAUUACUGGGCGUAAAGCGUGCGCAGGCGGUUUGUCAAGGCAGAUGUGAAAGCCCCGGGCUCAACCUGGGAAUGGCAUUUGUGACUGGCAGGCUAGAGUGUGUCAGAGGGGGGUAGAAUUCCACGUGUAGCAGUGAAAUGCGUAGAGAUGUGGAGGAAUACCGAUGGCGAAGGCAGCCCCCUGGGAUAACACUGACGCUCAUGCACGAAAGCGUGGGGAGCAAACAGG
rnacentral:rRNA from 1 species